ensembl:snRNA U1 U1 spliceosomal RNA
AUCCCCUGCACUCCGGGUGUGCUGACCCCUGCGAUUUCCCCAAAUGCGGGAAACUCGACUGCAUAAUUUGUGGUAGUGGGGGACUGCGUUCGCGCUCUCCCCUG